rnacentral:snRNA from 1 species
UAGUGUUACAGCUCUUUUAGAAUUUGUCUAGCAGGUCUUCCGGUUACCGGAAGACCCCC